rnacentral:lncRNA from 1 species
CGAAAGGAAGAGUCACAGGUCUCUCACUUUAAAUUAAAAGCUAGAAAUGAUUAACCUUGAUGAGGAAGGCUUGUCAGAAGGUUAAAUAGGCCGAAAGCUAUGCCUCUUGUGCCACACAGCCAAGUUUUGAAUGCAAAGGAAAAGUUCUGGAAGGAAAUUAAAAGUGCUCCUCCAAUGAAUCAAGUUAUUUAAAUCGAAAAACAUGUUUUCC